UACGAAGGGGGCUAGCGUUGCCUCGGAAUCACUGGGCGUAAAGCGCACGUAGGCGGUUUGCUAAGUCAGGGGUGAAAUCCUGGAGCUCAACUCCAGAACUGCCUUUGAUACUGGCGGACUUGAGUCCGGGAGAGGUGAGUGGAACUGCGAGUGUAGAGGUGAAAUUCGUAGAUAUUCGCAAGAACACCAGUGGCGAAGGCGGCUCACUGGCCCGGUACUGACGCUGAGGUGCGAAAGCG
rnacentral:rRNA from 1 species